UGCCCACUGAUGUUUAAUUAAAGGGCUGCAGUAUUUUGACUGUACAAAGGUAGCAUAAUCAUUAGUCAUUUAAUUGAUGACUUGUAUGAAGGAUUGGAUGAAAUAUAAACUGUCUUAACUUUAAAUUUUAAAAUUUAAUUUUUUAGUUAAAAAGCUAAAAUAUAAUAAAAAGACGAGAAGACCCUAUAGAGUUUGAUUAAUUUUUAUAAAUAAAUGUAUUAUAUAUGAAAUAAAAUUAGGAUUUAUUUUUUAAUUUUAUUGGGGUGAUAGAAAAAUUUAAUUAACUUUUUUUUUUAUUUAAACAUAAAUAAGUGAGUUUUUGAUCCAAUUAUUAUUGAUUAUGAGAAAAAAUUACCUUAGGGAUAACAGCGUAAUUUUUUUUUUUAGUUCAUAUAAGAAAAAAAGUUUGCGACCUCGAUGUUGGAUUAAGAUAAAAUUUAAAUGCAGAAGUUUAAAGUUUUGA
rnacentral:rRNA from 1 species